GCCGCGAUGGCGGAACUGGUAGACGCACGGGACUCAAAAUCCCGCGACCGCAAGGUCGUGAGAGUUCGAUUCUCUCUCGCGGCA
rnacentral:tRNA from 1 species